rnacentral:rRNA from 1 species
AGACCCGAAACCCGGUGAUCUAGCCAUGGGCAGGUUGAAGGUUGGGUAACACUAACUGGAGGACCGAACCGACUAAUGUUGAAAAAUUAGCGGAUGACCUGUGGCUGGGGGUGAAAGGCCAAUCAAACCGGGAGAUAGCUGGUUCUCCCCGAAAGCUAUUUAGGUAGCGCCUCGUGAAUUCAUCUCCGGGGGUAGAGCACUGUUUCGGCUAGGGGGCCAUCCCGGCUUACCAACCCGAUGCAAACUGCGAAUACCGGAGAAUGUUAUCACGGGAGACACACGGCGGGUGCUAACGUCCGUCGUGAAGAGGGAAACAACCCAGACCGCCAGCUAAGGUCCCAAAGUCAUGGUUAAGUGGGAAACGAUGUGGGAAGGCCCAGACAGCCAGGAUGUUGGCUUAGAAGCAGCCAUCAUUUAAAGAAAGCGUAAUAGCUCACUGGUCGAGUCGGCCUGCGCGGAAGAUGUAACGGGGCUAAACCAUGCACCGAAGCUGCGGCAGCGAACGUAUCACCCAAGACAACUUUACGGAGUUGACGAUUGACGGAGCGAAGCGACGUCAAAGCGUUCAUUAAAGUCGAGUUGGCUUAGGGAUACGUUCGUUGGGUAGGGGAGCGUUCUGUAAGCCUGUGAAGGUGUGUCGUGAGGCAUGCUGGAGGUAUCAGAAGUGCGAAUGCUGACAUAAGUAACGAUAAAGCGGGUGAAAAGCCCGCUCGCCGGAAGACCAAGGGUUCCUGUCCAACGUUAAUCGGGGCAGGGUGAGUCGACCCCUAAGGCGAGGCCGAAAGGCGUAGUCGAUGGGAAACGGGUUAAUAUUCCCGUACUUGGUGUUACUGCGAAGGGGGGACGGAGAAGGCUAUGUUGGCCGGGCGACGGUUGUCCCGGUUUAAGCGUGUAGGUGUGUGUUCCAGGUAAAUCCGGUUCACUUUAACACUGAGGCGUGACGACGAGGCACUACGGUGCUGAAGCAACAAAUGCCCUGCUUCCAGGAAAAGCCUCUAAGCAUCAGGUAACAUCAAAUCGUACCCCAAACCGACACAGGUGGUCAGGUAGAGAAUACCAAGGCGCUUGGGAGAACUCGGGUGAAGGAACUAGGCAAAAUGGUGCCGUAACUUCGGGAGAAGGCACGCUGACACGUAGGUGAAGUGAUUUACUCAUGGAGCUGAAGUCAGUCGAAGAUACCAGCUGGCUGCAACUGUUUAUUAAAAACACAGCACUGUGCAAACACGAAAGUGGACGUAUACGGUGUGACGCCUGCCCGGUGCCGGAAGGUUAAUUGAUGGGGUCAGCGCAAGCGAAGCUCCUGAUCGAAGCCCCGGUAAACGGCGGCCGUAACUAUAACGGUCCUAAGGUAGCGAAAUUCCUUGUCGGGUAAGUUCCGACCUGCACGAAUGGCGUAAUGAUGGCCAGGCUGUCUCCACCCGAGACUCAGUGAAAUUGAACUCGCUGUGAAGAUGCAGUGUACCCGCGGCAAGACGGAAAGACCCCGUGAACCUUUACUAUAGCUUGACACUGAACAUUGAGCCUUGAUGUGUAGGAUAGGUGGGAGGCUUUGAAGUGUGGACGCCAGUCUGCAUGGAGCCGACCUUGAAAUACCACCCUUUAAUGUUUGAUGUUCUAACGUGGACCCGUAAUCCGGGUUGCGGACAGUGUCUGGUGGGUAGUUUGACUGGGGCGGUCUCCUCCUAAAGAGUAACGGAGGAGCACGAAGGUUGGCUAAUCCUGGUCGGACAUCAGGAGGUUAGUGCAAUGGCAUAAGCCAGCUUGACUGCGAGCGUGACGGCGCGAGCAGGUGCGAAAGCAGGUCAUAGUGAUCCGGUGGUUCUGAAUGGAAGGGCCAUCGCUCAACGGAUAAAAGGUACUCCGGGGAUAACAGGCUGAUACCGCCCAAGAGUUCAUAUCGACGGCGGUGUUUGGCACCUCGAUGUCGGCUCAUCACAUCCUGGGGCUGAAGUAGGUCCCAAGGGUAUGGCUGUUCGCCAUUUAAAGUGGUACGCGAGCUGGGUUUAGAACGUCGUGAGACAGUUCGGUCCCUAUCUGCCGUGGGCGCUGGAGAACUGAGGGGGGCUGCUCCUAGUACGAGAGGACCGGAGUGGACGCAUCACUGGUGUUCGGGUUGUCAUGCCAAUGGCACUGCCCGGUAGCUAAAUGCGGAAGAGAUAAGUGCUGAAAGCAUCUAAGCACGAAACUUGCCCCGAGAUGAGUUCUCCCUGAGACUUAGAGUCUCCUGAAGGAACGUUGAAGACGACGACGUUGAUAGGCCGGGUGUGUAAGCGCAGCGAUGCGUUGAGCUAACCGGUACUAAUGAACCGUGAGGCUUAACCUU